rnacentral:rRNA from 1 species
CCUACGGGUGGCUGCAGUGGGGGAUAUUGCACAAUGGAGGAAACUCUGAUGCAGCAACGCCGCGUGAGGGAAGAAGGUCUUCGGAUUGUAAACCUCUGUCCUCAGGGACGAUAAUGACGGUAACUGAGGAGGAAGCUCCGGCUAACUACGUGCCAGCAGCCGCGGCAAUACGUAGGGAGCAAGCGUUGUCCGGCUUUACUGGGUGUAAAGGGUGCGUAGGCGGCCCUGCAAGUCAGGUGUGAAAACUAUGAGCUUAACUCAUAGAUUGUACUUUAAACUGUGGGGCUUGAGUGAAGUAGAGGCAGGCGGAAUUCCCGGUGUCGCGGUGAAAUGCGGAGAGGUCGGGAAGAACGCCAGUGGCGAAGGCGGCCUGCUGGGAUUUAACUGACGCUAAGGCACUAAAGGGUGGGUAGCAAACAGGAUUAGAUACCCUUGUAGUC